rnacentral:tRNA from 1 species
GAGCACAUGGUUCAAUGGUCAUGAGCGUUAGGCCAGUAUCCAAAAGGUCGCUGGUUCAAACCAUGCUGUGGUCA